rnacentral:rRNA from 1 species
AGUGAACGCUGGCGGUAGGCCUAACACAUGCAAGUCGAACGGCAGCACAGUAAGAGCUUGCUCUUACGGGUGGCGAGUGGCGGACGGGUGAGGAAUACAUCGGAAUCUACUUUUUCGUGGGGGAUAACGUAGGGAACUUACGCUAAUACCGCAUACGACCUACGGGUGAAAGCAGGGGAUCUUCGGACCUUGCGCGAUUGAAUUAGCCGAUGUCGGAUUAGCUAGUUGGCGGGGUAAAGGCCCACCAAGGCGACGAUCCGUAGCUGGUCUGAGAGGAUGAUCAGCCACACUGGAACUGAGACACGGUCCAGACUCCUACGGGAGGCAGCAGUGGGGAAUAUUGGACAAUGGGCGCAAGCCUGAUCCAGCCAUACCGCGUGGGUGAAGAAGGCCUUCGGGUUGUAAAGCCCUUUUGUUGGGAAAGAAAAGCAGCAGGUUAAUACCCCGCUGUUCUGACGGUACCCAAAGAAUAAGCACCGGCUAACUUCGUG